CAAUUAUAGAUGAUGUGAGAGGGCGGGUGUGUGUGUUUAGGGCACGGAUGGCUUGGGGAUAGAAGCUCCUCUUGAGUCUCUCUGUCCUUGCCCGGAAGAUGCGGAACCUUCUACCAGAUUGCAGAAGUUGGAACAGUUUGUUGCCAGGAUGGGACGGGUCAACUAGUGUGUUUCCAUAGAUUACCUCUGUAUGAAUGUACUUCUUAAAUGAAGGCAAGUGUUUGUCCUUUUUUGUUCCUCAGGUACAGUACGUGAUAUCAAGGGCAGGCGGUCAACACUGGGGGUAGACAAGAAGCAGACGUACUUCCAAGAGGGAGCUGCAGUGAGGUCAGAGGAGGCGCUGGAAGGUUUCCCUAAUAAUUCCUGGUGAAUCAAAGCAGAACCAUAAAGAUUGCUGGACUACAUGAUGGCCUUACCCCUGAGCAGUCAUCCUGUUAAAGGAGGAACCAGUUAGAAGCUGUUUUCAAAGUAGCUGAGCAGAUUUCAUCUCAAGUAAGCGAUUAACUGUUUGUUUAUCUGUUCUGCCACUUAAAGAGCAUUUAAGGACGUCUUUCGAGUGUCCAGUUGAAUUAAUUCUACUGGCUCUCAUGGUCAUUUGUUAUUAUAGACAUAUUUUUCAUGUUCAUCCAGCUAUUUAGUAAAUUCUAUCUAUUUAGUAAUAUCCGUCAGCUAUAAAAUGUAAUAUAAAUAUAAAAAUAUCUAAAUAUCUCCUGUCCUUUAUGUUUUAAUGAUGUAAGUCUGUUAUCAUGUUACAUUAGCAUUCCUCACAUAUCAAUGAGAUGCUGUACAAUACAAUCCUACUGACACAGCAGAGGGAUAACGACGGCUAUUCAACAUCGUUACACGACACAUUCGAGCUGCAUGAUGCAAACAAAGUGACUAAAUCAUCUUUUUUGUGGUUUAUUGUCUUCAAACCAGCAGACAAAGCUGAUGGCAGAAGAUGUCAGAGAAGAACUUCAGGCCGUGGACUGAAAAGUAGAUCAAAUCAGCUCGUGCUGCUUCUGCUUCCAAUUAAGAAGAAGAAGAAGAAGGCGAAGGCUUCAGCGAAGUGGCGUUCAUGGUCUCAGUGAAUAGUCACGGUCACACACUGCAUGUGGUUUUAAAAGCAACAUGUCUGUUCACCACAACAAUGGAGAUGUGUAAUAUUAGUGCAGCUACGGUUUGUUCUUGAACACCAGUUUUGUUUUCUACUUUGAUCACUUAGACCAAAAAAGUGUUGUUUUCAGAUUCUUUCUUUUACAUCUAUAAACCACCUGUUCAUUUUUUUUAUUACAAUUAGUUUCACAUGAAUGUUAGUGUUUCCUUCAUGAUCUUUUAAUGCUUACACUACACUGUACAUGUCUACAUUAGAGACAUUUCUGUUACCUGUUUCUGUUGACUCAGAGUUGUGAAAUGUUCUUUUAUUUAAUGCACAAUAUGAAGCUCAUAAUUUUCUUACAAAUAAAAAUCUAAUGACAAAC
ensembl:lncRNA